rnacentral:lncRNA from 1 species
UCCGAGAAGACGACCGGCGAUGGAGGUGAGGCACGCCGACUCCAGCAGGAUCCUCGCUGCAGUGCCCUCGUUGUUUUCGGCGAUGGAGGUGAGAUGGGAGAUGGGAGUGAGUGCGGCGAGAGGGAGAGGGAGAGGAGAUGGGAGAUGGAGGUGGUGCGGCGAUGGGAGUGAGUGCGGCGAGAUGGGAGAUGGAGGUGGUGCGGCGGGGGAGUGAGAAAGCGAGAGGGAGAGGAGAAUCACUGAAUCAGGAGAUGAAUUAGGUUUUCAAAACUUAAUUCUAUUUUUUUUUUAUUUUUUAAUAUAUCUAAUAUUAUUAAUAAAAUAAAUAUAAAAAAUAAAUAAUAUAUUUUUAAUUAAAUCGGAUCCACGGGUCGGAUCUGGGUCGGAUCCGGAUCUCAAAUGUCAAGAUCCAGAUCCAGAUCCGUUUUAGAAAAUGAG